rnacentral:rRNA from 1 species
GACGAACGCUGGCGGCGUGCUUAACACAUGCAAGUCGAACGGAAAGGCCCUGCUUUUGUGGGGUGCUCGAGUGGCGAACGCGUGCGUAACACGUGAGUAACCUGCUCUUGACUUUGGGAUAACUUCAGGUAACUGGGGUUAAUACAGGAUAGGAGACCCUGUUGCAUGGUGGGGGUUGGAACGUUUCGGCGGUCGGGGAUGGACUCGCGGCUUUUCAGCUUGUUGGUGGGGUAGUGGCUUACCCAGCCUUUGACGGGUAGCCGGCCUGUGAGGGUGGCCGGCCACAUGGGUACUGAGGUACGGCCCAGACUCCAACAGGAGGCAGAAGUGGGGAAUAUUGCACAAUGGUCGGAAGCCUGAUGCAGCAACGCCGCGGGCGGGAUGACGGCCUUCGGGUUGUAAACCGCAGUCGCCUGUUACGAAGCGGGAGUGACGGUAAUGGGUAAAGAAGCACCGGCUAACUACGUG